GAGGGUAUAGCUCAUUGAUAGAGCACAUGCUUAGCACGCAUGAGGUCAGGGGUUCAAUCCCCAGUACAUCCA
rnacentral:tRNA from 1 species